rnacentral:rRNA from 1 species
AAAAAAGGUAAGCUACUAAGAGCGAAUGGUGGAUGCCUUGACUGGUAAAGGCGAUGAAGGACGUACUAGACUGCGAUAAGCUACGGGGAGCUGUCAAGAAGCUUUGAUCCGUAGAUUUCCGAAUGGGGCAACCCAAUGUAUAGAGAUAUACAUUACCUAUAUAGGAGCGAACGAGGGGAAUUGAAACAUCUUAGUACCCUCAGGAAAAGAAAUCAAUAGAGAUUGCGUCAGUAGCGGCGAGCGAAAGCGCAAGAGGGCAAACCCAGUGCUUGCACUGGGGGUUGUAGGACUGCAAUGUGCAAGAGGUAAGUUUAGCAGAACAUUCUGGAAAGUAUAACCAUAGAGGGUGAUAGUCCCGUAUGUGAAAAACAAACCUUAGCUAGCAGUAUCCUGAGUAGGGCGGGACACGAGGAAUCCUGUCUGAAUCCGGGUCGACCACGAUCCAACCCUAAAUACUAAUACCAGAUCGAUAGUGCACAAGUACCGUGAGGGAAAGGUGAAAAGAACUGAGGUGAUCAGAGUGAAAUAGAACCUGAAACCAUUUGCUUACAAUCAUUCAGAGCCCUAUGUAGCAAUACAGGGUGAUGGACUGCCUUUUGCAUAAUGAGCCUGCGAGUUGUGGUGUCUGGCAAGGUUAAGCAAACGCGAAGCCGUAGCGAAAGCGAGUCUGAAUAGGGCGCUUAGUCAGAUGCUGCAGACCCGAAACGAAGUGAUCUAUCCAUGAGCAAGUUGAAGCUAGUGUAAGAACUAGUGGAGGACUGAACCCAUAGGCGUUGAAAAGCCCCGGGAUGACUUGUGGAUAGGGGUGAAAGGCCAAUCAAACUUCGUGAUAGCUGGUUCUCUCCGAAAUAUAUUUAGGUAUAGCGUUGUGUCGUAAUAUAAGGGGGUAGAGCACUGAAUGGGCUAGGGCAUACACCAAUGUACCAAACCCUAUCAAACUCCGAAUACCUUAUAUGUAAUCACAGCAGUCAGGCGGCGAGUGAUAAAAUCCGUCGUCAAGAGGGAAACAACCCAGACUACCAGCUAAGGUCCCUAAAUCUUACUUAAGUGGAAAACGAUGUGAAGUUACUUAAACAACCAGGAGGUUGGCUUAGAAGCAGCCAUCCUUUAAAGAAAGCGUAAUAGCUCACUGGUCUAGUGAUUUUGCGCGGAAAAUAUAACGGGGCUAAAGU